GUCUUGGCUAUCGUGAAUAAUGCUGCUUUGAAUAUGGGUAUACAAUGUUUUUCUUUUCAAACCUUCCCUCACUUUGGUGGAAUUAAUCCUUUAGUAGCUACUUCUGACAGCACAUAUUUAAAGUAUGUUUGUAUGGUUCAAUUUUUCCAUUGUUUUUAUUCUCUCCAGGAAGAGGAGAUAAAUAUAUGAAGGUGCUGUUUGGCACAGAAUUUAAUAGGGAAGAAAGAGACAGUAUAACUCACCAGUGCUGGGUCUCAUCAUCCUGCAA
rnacentral:lncRNA from 10 species